rnacentral:lncRNA from 1 species
GGAUUUUAUUUUUUUUUUUUGUAAAGCAGCUCUAUGACAAUGGUACCUCUGUUUCAUUCUAACAGGACGUGCCAGAAAUUCCAUUCUUCAGAUGUACAAACGAGGCUUUUCAAGAAAAACAUUUUUUCAAGUGCAAGUCAGUGUGGAUCUUCUGGAGCUCAUGGCAGCAAUAGUUGCUGGAGACAUUAUGGCUAUAGAGCGCACAGGCCAUAACAUAACAGCAGUGAGCUCUUCAUGGCCUGGGGGAGCAACUGAGGUGGUAAGUGAGAAGCUCUGCUAAGAGGGUGGGAACCGUGCAGCUGGCUCGGGGUCCUGCCACGGCAUUGGUAUCACCUGGGUGUUGCUCUGGGCUGCAUGUUGCUGUCAGCACAGCCUGCAGCAACCUUUUGCUGACCUCAGUGUGCUGAGUGGGAUGUCUGCAGGCCACACCUCAGCCCGAGUAACGCACUCCUGCUUUCAGCCACCAGAGUUUGACCCAGGUCUACAUUGCUUGUUUCAACUCCCUCUGGCUCCAGGAUUCCAAAUACAUAAUCCUGCAAGGGCUCGUUUGUUAAGGUCCUGAGAGCUCUGGUCCUUUAGUGAUUGUAGAGUAACAGAAAGUUUUGGAGAAGAGCUUCUUGCCUCAUGACAAACCAAUGUUAUCUGUGUUAACUCUGUUUCUAUGCAUUUUCAAGGAUGUCUCACGGAUUCAUUUUAUAUGCUGGGGAAUUAGUCUCAUCAUGUCAAGUUCAGGCAAUCACAGAAUCUCAUGUCUUAGUGGGAUCAAACCCUUGUUUUCUGACUUGUACUGAGGGAAAAUCAGAGCUAUAAUUUAGACCAGAGGGGAUAACAGUUGUUUUUGAGUGGUCUCUCUAUUGGUUUGAGCUCUAGAUCAGAUCCUUUUGGAUCCUACAUGUGUUGCACCUGGUGUGUAUGUAGGUGCCGGUAAGACCUUUUGAACAGAAGUGAAUUUCACCCUGGCUGAAACUAUGUGGUAUAUGUAUUCUCUGGCAAUAAAACCUGCAGUUAAUCAUUUUUUUCCUCA